rnacentral:rRNA from 1 species
AGGACGAACGCUGGCGGCGUGCUUAACACAUGCAAGUCGAACGGAAAGGCCCGCUUGCGGGUACUCGAGUGGCGAACGGGUGAGUAACACGUGGGCAACCUGCCCUCAGCUUCGGGAUAACACUUGGAAACAGGUGCUAAUACCGGAUAAUAACCUUUCAUCGCAUGGUGGUUGGUUCAAAGUUUUUCGGCUGAGGAUGGGCCCGCGGCCUAUCAGCUUGUUGGUGGGUAAUGGCCUACCAAGGCGACG